UGCAUUUAUGUAAAAACUUGCAAGAUGACAUCACCACCACCACCACGACCACCACCAUCCAUCCAUUCUGCAUACCGACCCACCGAGGCAGGUCAGGCCAUUAACACGGUCUUGGUCGUCGUCGUCAUCAUCAUCAUCAUCGUGAUUUUCUUGUUGUGUGUACCAUACGUCCGUAUUAUUCAAGUUCUCUCUCCAUCCAUGGUGUGCUUCUCGUUGUUGUAUUAUUGCAUGCAUCGCAUUAUUCUGUGAGUGAUAAAGUAACCACUUCGACAUAUAAUACUCUCUCACGCGUUGACUCGUUCAAAUGAAGAUAUUUGCGUUUUUUGACUGCGUCUUCCUACAUCGUCCUACGUCGCAGAAGGAAAUGGUAGUUUUUCUCUAGCUCAAACUUUAUUUUGUGGCGUAUGGUUAAGAAGAAACCAUACGUUGAGAAAUGGUCAAUCUGAUAAAUCGGAUGUUAUUACAUCGGUCGAGCUGAAAGCCAGCUCAAUAUCCGGGAUCGAAUCCUUCACGCCACUGCUGACGUGCAUGUACCCAUGCAUAGAAUCCCAAAGUCUGGAGGACCUUGAACCAAUGUCAAUAUUAGUUUUGUUGUACAUGCAGAGGUUCCCUAAAAGCACUUUCACUUUUAACGCUUUCUUUUCAUUUUACCAAAUGUGGAGAUCAUCAAGUCUUAGCGAAUCUUAGCGUCAUUCAAGUCGAGCAAUAAAAUCUUUUUAGCUCUGUUCAUAAAUAUUUUUUUAAUAAAAGAUGCUUUUUCGUCAAUUCACUG